UUUAAUGAAGGAAAAAAACUAUACAUGAAGAAACUACAAAAUAAUGAAAUGUGAAAACCGAAACAGCCCUAUCUGGUGCAAACACAAAGACAGGAACAAUCACCCACAAAACACUCAGAGAAUAUGGCUGCCUAAAUAUGGUUCCCCCAAUCAGAGACAACGAUACACACCUGCCUCUGAUUGAGAACCACUCCAGACAGCCAUAGACUUUGCUAGAUAACUAAGCCACACACCCAACACCCCACAAAACCCCAAGACAAAACACACCACAAUAAACCCAUGUCACACCCUGGCCUAACCAAAUAAAUGAAGACAAAACACAAUAUAUUACGACCAGGGCGUGACAGAGACUGGAUCCAUCAGGAACACCCGACAACUCUAUCCCAGAGUUAGGUUUCAGAAGACUGCUCCCUUCAUAUUUUUCAGAUCCUAACAAACUCCCCAGUCCUUUCCGAUGACAAGCAUACCCAUAACAUGAUGCUGCCACCACAAUACUUGAAAAUAUGAUCCAAUUUAAUCAAAUGUUUUAAUCAAAUUAUUAUUUAAUAAAUGGUGUGCAGCAAAAUGUGAAGACUGUACGAGGGGUGUGUAGACUUUCACUAGGCAGUGUAAAUACGACAGUGGCAGGUAUAACUACAGUGUAAAUAUGACAGUGGCAGGUAUAACUACAGUGGCAGGUAUAACUACAGUGUAAAUACGACAGUGGCAGGUAUAACUACAGUGUAAAUACGACAGUGGCAGGUAUAACUACAGUGUAAAUACGACAGUGGCA